rnacentral:rRNA from 1 species
GGUUAAGCGACUAAGCGUACACGGUGGAUGCCCUGGCAGUCAGAGGCGAUGAAGGACGUGCUAAUCUGCGAUAAGCGUCGGUAAGGUGAUAUGAACCGUUAUAACCGGCGAUUUCCGAAUGGGGAAACCCAGUGUGUUUCGACACACUAUCAUUAACUGAAUCCAUAGGUUAAUGAGGCGAACCGGGGGAACUGAAACAUCUAAGUACCCCGAGGAAAAGAAAUCAACCGAGAUUCCCCCAGUAGCGGCGAGCGAACGGGGAGGAGCCCAGAGCCUGAAUCAGUGUGUGUGUUAGUGGAAGCGUCUGGAAAGGCGCGCGAUACAGGGUGACAGCCCCGUACACAAAAAUGCACAUAUUGUGAGCUCGAUGAGUAGGGCGGGACACGUGGUAUCCUGUCUGAAUAUGGGGGGACCAUCCUCCAAGGCUAAAUACUCCUGACUGACCGAUAGUGAACCAGUACCGUGAGGGAAAGGCGAAAAGAACCCCGGCGAGGGGAGUGAAAAAGAACCUGAAACCGUGUACGUACAAGCAGUGGGAGCACGCUUAGGCGUGUGACUGCGUACCUUUUGUAUAAUGGGUCAGCGACUUAUAUUCUGUAGCAAGGUUAACCGAAUAGGGGAGCCGAAGGGAAACCGAGUCUUAACUGGGCGUUAAGUUGCAGGGUAUAGACCCGAAACCCGGUGAUCUAGCCAUGGGCAGGUUGAAGGUUGGGUAACACUAACUGGAGGACCGAACCGACUAAUGUUGAAAAAUUAGCGGAUGACUUGUGGCUGGGGGUGAAAGGCCAAUCAAACCGGGAGAUAGCUGGUUCUCCCCGAAAGCUAUUUAGGUAGCGCCUCGUGAAUUCAUCUCCGGGGGUAGAGCACUGUUUCGGCAAGGGGGUCAUCCCGACUUACCAACCCGAUGCAAACUGCGAAUACCGGAGAAUGUUAUCAUGGGAGACACACGGCGGGUGCUAACGUCCGUCGUGAAGAGGGAAACAACCCAGACCGCCAGCUAAGGUCCCAAAGUCAUGGUUAAGUGGGAAACGAUGUGGGAAGGCCCAGACAGCCAGGAUGUUGGCUUAGAAGCAGCCAUCAUUUAAAGAAAGCGUAAUAGCUCACUGGUCGAGUCGGCCUGCGCGGAAGAUGUAACGGGGCUAAACCAUGCACCGAAGCUGCGGCAGCGACGCUGAUGCGUUGUUGGGUAGGGGAGCGUUCUGUAAGCCUGCGAAGGUGUGCUGUGAGGCAUGCUGGAGGUAUCAGAAGUGCGAAUGCUGACAUAAGUAACGAUAAAGCGGGUGAAAAGCCCGCUCGCCGGAAGACCAAGGGUUCCUGUCCAACGUUAAUCGGGGCAGGGUGAGUCGACCCCUAAGGCGAGGCCGAAAGGCGUAGUCGAUGGGAAACAGGUUAAUAUUCCUGUACUUGGUGUUACUGCGAAGGGGGGACGGAGAAGGCUAUGUUGGCCGGGCGACGGUUGUCCCGGUUUAAGCGUGUAGGCUGGUUUUCCAGGCAAAUCCGGAAAAUCAAGGCUGAGGCGUGAUGACGAGGCACUACGGUGCUGAAGCAACAAAUGCCCUGCUUCCAGGAAAAGCCUCUAAGCAUCAGGUAACAUCAAAUCGUACCCCAAACCGACACAGGUGGUCAGGUAGAGAAUACCAAGGCGCUUGAGAGAACUCGGGUGAAGGAACUAGGCAAAAUGGUGCCGUAACUUCGGGAGAAGGCACGCUGAUAUGUAGGUGAAGUCCCUUGCGGAUGGAGCUGAAAUCAGUCGAAGAUACCAGCUGGCUGCAACUGUUUAUUAAAAACACAGCACUGUGCAAACACGAAAGUGGACGUAUACGGUGUGACGCCUGCCCGGUGCCGGAAGGUUAAUUGAUGGGGUCAGCGCAAGCGAAGCUCUUGAUCGAAGCCCCGGUAAACGGCGGCCGUAACUAUAACGGUCCUAAGGUAGCGAAAUUCCUUGUCGGGUAAGUUCCGACCUGCACGAAUGGCGUAAUGAUGGCCAGGCUGUCUCCACCCGAGACUCAGUGAAAUUGAACUCGCUGUGAAGAUGCAGUGUACCCGCGGCAAGACGGAAAGACCCCGUGAACCUUUACUAUAGCUUGACACUGAACAUUGAGCCUUGAUGUGUAGGAUAGGUGGGAGGCUUUGAAGUGUGGACGCCAGUCUGCAUGGAGCCGACCUUGAAAUACCACCCUUUAAUGUUUGAUGUUCUAACGUUGACCCGUAAUCCGGGUUGCGGACAGUGUCUGGUGGGUAGUUUGACUGGGGCGGUCUCCUCCUAAAGAGUAACGGAGGAGCACGAAGGUUGGCUAAUCCUGGUCGGACAUCAGGAGGUUAGUGCAAUGGCAUAAGCCAGCUUGACUGCGAGCGUGACGGCGCGAGCAGGUGCGAAAGCAGGUCAUAGUGAUCCGGUGGUUCUGAAUGGAAGGGCCAUCGCUCAACGGAUAAAAGGUACUCCGGGGAUAACAGGCUGAUACCGCCCAAGAGUUCAUAUCGACGGCGGUGUUUGGCACCUCGAUGUCGGCUCAUCACAUCCUGGGGCUGAAGUAGGUCCCAAGGGUAUGGCUGUUCGCCAUUUAAAGUGGUACGCGAGCUGGGUUUAGAACGUCGUGAGACAGUUCGGUCCCUAUCUGCCGUGGGCGCUGGAGAACUGAGGGGGGCUGCUCCUAGUACGAGAGGACCGGAGUGGACGCAUCACUGGUGUUCGGGUUGUCAUGCCAAUGGCACUGCCCGGUAGCUAAAUGCGGAAGAGAUAAGUGCUGAAAGCAUCUAAGCACGAAACUUGCCCCGAGAUGAGUUCUCCCUGACUCCUUGAGAGUCCUGAAGGAACGUUGAAGACGACAACGUUGAUAGGCCGGGUGUGUAAGCGCAGCGAUGCGUUGAGCUAACCGGUACUAAUGAACCGUGAGGCUUAACCUU